rnacentral:rRNA from 1 species
GACGAACGCUGGCGGCGUGCCUAAUACAUGCAAGUCGAACGCAGUGGGGACGGGUGAGUAACACGUGGGUAACCUCCCAUCAGAGGGGAUAACACUUGGAAACAGGUGCUAAACCGAUACUGAUGGAUGGACCCGCGGUGCAUUAGCUAGUUGGUGAGGUAACGGCUCACCAAGGCCACGAUGCAUAGCCGACCUGAGAGAGUGAUCGGCCACACUGGGACUGAGCAACGGCCCAGCCUCCUCCGGAAGGCAGCAGUGGGGAAUUUUCGGAAAGGGACGAAAGCCUGACCGAGAAACGCGGCGUAAUUGAAGAAGGUUUUGGGAUCGUAAAACUCUGUUGUUAGAGAAGCGGUAUCUAACCAGAAAGCCACGGCUAACUACGUGCCAGCAGCCGCGGUAAUAC